CACACACACACACACACACACACACACACACACACAGACACACACACACACAGCUUUUCUGCUAACAACACAACAUGGCCGUGGUCUGUGUAAACAGAGACCGGUCUAUCUUCACCACACAUUCACAGAAACAACAGGGUGUAAGGUUACAGCAGAAGUCACCACUACAAUCCACCCUGAUCAGGUAGCAGGUCUGUGGCCUCUGCCUGCUCAGUCCUCCUCCCGGAUCCACACGCUUCACAAUUGUUAUACUUUGUAUCAGAUAUUCUGUCAAUGCAAUCUGCAAAUUGAGGUGUUGUUGUUUUGUUCUGUAAUUAAGACAUGUCUGUCUGUGCUGGGAGAGGGACCCCUCCUCUGUGGCUCCUCCUGAGGUUUCUUACAUCUAUUUUUUUUCCUCCUGUCAACAGAACUGUAAACCCGUAACUUCAUGUUUUAUGUAUAAAAGCUUUUUUCAUGGUGACUGAGUCUUGUUUGUUCUCAGUAUUUCUAAAGUGGACAUAUCAAGUCAAUUAAUUUAGAUUACAUGAACUGGUUAUUACUUUGAUUAUUCAUUUAAUUCUCCGCUCUAUUAGAAGUGUAUAACCUUUUGAAAACAAUAUCAUCAAUAAGAUUUUUCUUUUAAAUUCAAUCAAUGUACAUUUUCUUUCACACAGUAAGCAAAUCAGCUGCAACUGCAAGCCUCACAGAUGUUCAUUAUUUAUGCCCCAGGUAGUCCUUGUUAGUAUGUUGUAGCCUAAAAAGAUCAAAUAAUGUGAUAAAAAUCAGAGACAUUUUCGUAUUUAUGACUGAUCAGAAUCUUAAAUCAUGUGAUUCCAAGGGAUCAUGAUUGACAAGUGUCUGGCCCCUUUCCGUGACAUCACCCCCAUCAAUUCAUUCACAUGACAUCCAACAUGAAUUUAUGGUCAAAGUACAGAACAGAAAACAAUAACACUUGAGCUGUGGUGUCCCAGAUGACCCAAAUCCUCCUUAUUAUAAUAUGAGAGUAAUGUAACUUGAUUCCUUUCUGAUUAGUUUUUAUUACUUCAAUAUCAUGGAAAAUUAAAAACCAAUAAAAAUGAAACAUAUUUAAUCUUAUUAAGAACAGUGUGCUCUGUGUCCUGCCUCAGUUCUGUUACUUCCUGGUUCAGUCCAGGUGAACCCCCAGCAAAAUAAGUCCCACCCUCCUUGAGGACGGGGAUUGGCGCCCGCCAAAAUUAGCUGCUUCGCGCCUAAAUUGAGACCCGCCCACGACUCGUUGAGUGUAUUUCGUGCUAAAACAUUUAGAAGCUUCAUAAACCACAGGUGGAUCUUCACUUUGGUCGGAGCAGCUCUUCUCUGAGGACACGAACAAGGUGAAAAGUGGGACUUGUCUUCAUCUUCAAGUGGAACAGCUGGUGAUCAGACCUGGAGAGGCGAGUCACCUGGUCUAACAAGGUGAUGGGCGAAUCGAAAGGAAGGAUGAACAACACGAGCAGUCGAGACGAACAAGACAAGCAUUCAGGAUGAAGACAAGCCACAACAGGAACCUGAAGCAGCAGUGGUUGUGAUGGACGAGUUGAAAAGGAUGAAUCACCGGGACGAUCAAGACGAGCCAAGCGACAGAUACGAGCCACCACAGGAGCCUGAAGUGGCAGGAAAAGUAAUGACCAGAUGAGCAGUGAGCUGGGCUCUGCAAGAAAACACAAAGAGCAGUAGGCUGCUGAGGACGUCGCAGCUGCUGACCCUCUUGUUGGGCGACGGUUUCCUGAACUGCAGGACAUUGGACAGACAUUUCUUGAUGAAAACUCCUUCAGGUCGUUGUGGACUGCGACUUCACCUGCUCACAGACAUGGACUCUGUACUUUUAUUCAAGCCAACUUCUCAUCAGCUUUUAAAGAGGAACAACAGAAAGCGCCCUGACUGGAAACAUGACUGAAAAGAGGUAACUGCCACCACACCAUCAGACUACAGACAAACAGACAGCUCCUGUCUUCAAAUGCACAUCCAGGCGUGUCAUACGUUUGCAGAUGACAAUAACCAAUCAGAGAGCUUGUUACAUCGACUAAUUUGUGUUUUACCUCAUUUUACUGGCUCGAGGACCAAAGUGCCAUGGAAAGGCUAAAUUGCAAAGCAGACAGAAAAGGAAAUUUCCCUUUUAAAAAUCUCUAUUCUUACUUACAUUUUUUAAUCCAGCUACUUGUCUUUUUAAACCAUAUUUUCAAAUAGAUUUUUUAAAUUCCAUUAUUAUUUAUAACACGUUUCAUGUCAUGUUUCUUUGAAAGAUGUUAAAUGAUGGUUUUGUAAAUUAGUACGCACUAUUUAUUGAUGGAUUAAAAUUUCAUUUGUAAAUUCUA